AUGUGUGAGUGCGUGAGGUUGGGGUCCCGAGCCAUGGAUGAGGUCUACGACGAGAUUGACUCAAACCUGGUCAACAGGUUCACAGAGGGAGUCACCCUCAACUACAAAUACCUCCAGCGCUUGGAGGGGCGGCUGGACAUGAAGACGCUACAGAUAGACAGACUGAACGCUGAAGCGAACUUUGACCUCUCCUCCUGCUGCUGCUAUGGUUCUGACUCCUGCUCUGGUGGACCCUCCUGCAGCUACACCUCUGACUCCUGGUCUGAGAGGUCCUCCUGCAGAUACACCUCUGACUCCUGCUCUGGGAGGUCCUCCUGCAGCUACACCUCUGACUACUGCUCUGGGAGGUCCUCCUGCAGCUACACCUCUGACUCCUGGUCUGAGAGGUCCUCCUGCAGAUACACCACUGACUCCUGCUCUGGGAGGUCCUCCUGCAGAAACACCUCUAGAACUAAAACACAUUCUAGAUCACAUUGUAGAUCUUCCGGAUCUUCUAGGUCCUCCUCCAGAUCUAGUGGUGGUGACUGCAGCACCUGCCGACACUGUAACAAACUGCCGGACAGGUUCCUGGGCGGUAGUCUGGAUAGUCCCUACCCAUUGGAUAGCCUGGAUUGCCCUCACCCAUUGGAUAGCCCCAGCCCAGUGGAAAGCCCCAGACAACCAUUUAGUCUUAGCCCACUACCAGGAGAUGAUAAGGGGCACGUCAGAUACUAUGGCUCCACGCAAGCCUCCAACACCUCCUGCCGUUCGACUCGCCACUCCUCUGAAAAUGCCUCCC
rnacentral:lncRNA from 13 species